UGGGGAAUAUUGGACAAUGGGCGAAAGCCUGAUCCAGCCAUGCCGCGUGUGUGAAGAAGGUCUUCGGAUUGUAAAGCACUUUAAGUUGGGAGGAAGGGCAGUAAGUUAAUACCUUGCUGUUUUGACGUUACCGACAGAAUAAGCACCGGCUAACUCUGUGCCAGCAGCCGCGGUAAUACAGAGGGUGCAAGCGUUAAUCGGAAUUACUGGGCGUAAAGCGCGCGUAGGUGGUUUGUUAAGUUGUAUGUGAAAGCCCCGGGCUCAACCUGGGAACUGCAUCCAAAACUGGCAAGCUAGAGUACGGUAGAGGGUGGUGGAAUUUCCUGUGUAGCGGUGAAAUGCGUAGAUAUAGGAAGGAACACCAGUGGCGAAGGCGACCACCUGGACUGAUACUGACACUGAGGUGCGAAAGCGUGGGGAGCAAACA
rnacentral:rRNA from 1 species